CUGAAAAAUAGGGCAAAGUAAAGAAAACCUCUAAACAGCUUCCAAGACACACUUUGCUUUUGAAAGUUAGUGAAAUUCUAAAACUGUGUUCUAGUCUGUCUCUGCACCAAAUACCUGCCAUCUCCCAUUUGGACACCACUGAAAAAUAGGGCAAAGUAAAGAAAACCUCUAAACAGCUUCCAAGACACACUUUGCUUUUGAAAGUUAGUGAAAUUCUAAAACUGUGUUCUAGUCUGUCUCUGCACCAAAUACCUGCCAUCUCCCAUUUGGACACCACUGAAAAAUAGGGCAAAGUAAAGAAAACCUCUAAACAGCUUCCAAGACACACUUUGCUUUUGAAAGUUAGUGAAAUUCUAAAACUGUGUUCUAGUCUGUCUCUGCACCAAAUACCUGCCAUCUCCCAUUUGGACACCACUGAAAAAUAGGGCAAAGUAAAGAAAACCUCUAAACAGCUUCCAAGACACACUUUGCUUUUGAAAGUUAGUGAAAUUCUAAAACUGUGUUCUAGUCUGUCUCUGCACCAAAUACCUGCCAUCUCCCAUUUGGACACCACUGAAAAAUAGGGCAAAGUAAAGAAAACCUCUAAACAGCUUCCAAGACACACUUUGCUUUUGAAAGUUAGUGAAAUUCUAAAACUGUGUUCUAGUCUGUCUCUGCACCAAAUACCUGCCAUCUCCCAUUUGGACACCACUGAAAAAUAGGGCAAAGUAAAGAAAACCUCUAAACAGCUUCCAAGACACACUUUGCUUUUGAAAGUUAGUGAAAUUCUAAAACUGUGUUCUAGUCUGUCUCUGCACCAAAUACCUGCCAUCUCCCAUUUGGACACCACUGAAAAAUAGGGCAAAGUAAAGAAAACCUCUAAACAGCUUCCAAGACACACUUUGCUUUUGAAAGUUAGUGAAAUUCUAAAACUGUGUUCUAGUCUGUCUCUGCACCAAAUACCUGCCAUCUCCCAUUUGGACACCACUGAAAAAUAGGGCAAAGUAAAGAAAACCUCUAAACAGCUUCCAAGACACACUUUGCUUUUGAAAGUUAGUGAAAUUCUAAAACUGUGUUCUAGUCUGUCUCUGCACCAAAUACCUGCCAUCUCCCAUUUGGACACCACUGAAAAAUAGGGCAAAGUAAAGAAAACCUCUAAACAGCUUCCAAGACACACUUUGCUUUUGAAAGUUAGUGAAAUUCUAAAACUGUGUUCUAGUCUGUCUCUGCACCAAAUACCUGCCAUCUCCCAUUUGGACACCACUGAAAAAUAGGGCAAAGUAAAGAAAACCUCUAAACAGCUUCCAAGACACACUUUGCUUUUGAAAGUUAGUGAAAGUAUGUAUUGACACUGGUACACAUAAACUGUUGUCUAAUUGCUUGAAGAGACCCUUGCUUGGAAAACCCAGCCUCUCAGACAGGUUUGCCAGCAGCCAUACCCUCUCAAAAGCCUUUCUUUUCUGUCUUGCAUUGCUUCAAAUACUA